GUGGGGAAUCUUGCGCAAUGGGCGAAAGCCUGACGCAGCCAUGCCGCGUGAAUGAUGAAGGUCUUAGGAUUGUAAAAUUCUUUCACCGGGGACGAUAAUGACGGUACCCGGAGAAGAAGCUCCGGCUAACUUCGUGCCAGCAGCCGCGGUAAUACGAAGGGGGCUAGCGUUGCUCGGAAUUACUGGGCGUAAAGGGCGCGUAGGCGGACAGCUUAGUCAGAGGUGAAAGCCCAGGGCUCAAGCUUGGAAUUGCCUUUGAUACUGGCUGUCUUGAGUUUGGGAGAGGUGAGUGGAACUCCGAGUGUAGAGGUGAAAUUCGUAGAUAUUCGGAAGAACACCAGUGGCGAAGGCGACUCACUGGCCCAAUACUGACGCUGAGGCGCGAAAGCGUGGGGAGCAAACAGGAUUAGAUACCCUAGUAGUCC
rnacentral:rRNA from 1 species